rnacentral:rRNA from 1 species
UACGGAGGGGGCUAGCGUUGUUCGGAAUUACUGGGCGUAAAGCGCACGUAGGCGGCUUUGUAAGUUAGAGGUGAAAGCCCGGGGCUCAACUCCGGAAUUGCCCUUAAGACUGCAUCGCUUGAAUUGUGGAGAGGUGAGUGGAAUUCCGAGUGUAGAGGUGAAAUUCGUAGAUAUUCGGAAGAACACCAGUGGCGAAGGCGACUCACUGGACACAUAUUGACGCUGAGGUGCGAAAGCGUGGGGAGCAAACAGG